UGGACCUGAUAUCAGGCAAGAUUACCCGCUGAACUUAAGCAUAUAACUAAGCGGUGGAAAAGAAACUAACAAGGAUUCCCUCAGUAACGGCGAGUGAAGCGGGAAGAGCUCAAGCAUAAAAUCUCCGGUUUGAUGUAAUCGGCGAAUUGUAGUCUAUGGAAGCGAUGUCAGAAGCGUCGGCAGGUUCAAGUUCCUUGGAAGAGGACAGCAUGGAGGGUUACACUCCCGUCUGAGCCGAGCUGAUGUGAAGUACGACACGCUCUCUUCGAGUCGCGUUGUUUGGGAUUGCAGCGCAAAGCAGGUGGUAAACUCCAUCGAAAGCUAAAUACCGGUAGAGACCGAUAGCGAACAAGUACCGUGAGGGAAAGAUGAAAAGAACUUUGAAAAGAGAGUUAAAAGUACCUGAAACUGCUGAAAGGGAAGCGAAUCGCGUCUACUGUCCCUUCGCGUGCAUCGCGUACUGUGGCUUUCGGGCGACAGUAGGUUGUGUCGCGGUGGAGUCAGAGUCAGUUCCGAGUCCGCGGUCUGAGUCGGGCGAUAAAGGUAGGAAUCCCGUGUAGCGGGACCCGCAUGACUCUCCCAAGUCGGGCUGUGGUUGGGACUGAGGUGUCUACAACAUGCAAAUCAAGUGCGUUGCGCGAGCUCUCGCGCAAUCGGAGGAAAGUUCGCUGGAAUCCGUAUUGUCGUGGUGGCACGCGUAGCGAUUAACUGCGCUGUCGG
rnacentral:rRNA from 1 species